rnacentral:rRNA from 1 species
UACGUAGGGUGCAAGCGUUGUCCGGAAUUACUGGGCGUAAAGGGCGCGUAGGCGGCCUGCUAAGUCGAACGUGAAAUCCCCGAGCUCAACUCGGGAACUGCGUCCGAUACUGGCAGGCUUGAAUCCGGGAGAGGGAUGCGGAAUUCCAGGUGUAGCGGUGAAAUGCGUAGAUAUCUGGAGGAACACCGGUGGCGAAGGCGGCAUCCUGGACCGGCAUUGACGCUGAGGCGCGAAAGCCAGGGGAGCAAACGGG